rnacentral:rRNA from 1 species
CCUACGGGAGGCAGCAGUAGGGAAUAUUGCUCAAUGGGCGAAACCCUGAAGCAGCAACGCCGCGUGGGCGAUGAAGGUUUUCGGGUCGUAAAGCUCUGUUCUUAGAGAAGAUAAUGACGGUACUUAAGGAAUAAGCACCGGCUAACUCCGUGCCAGCAGCCGCGGUAAUACGUAGGGGGCUAGCGUUAUCCGGAAUCACUGGGCGUAAAGGGUGCGUAGGUGGGUUGUUAAGUCAGAGGUGAAAGGCUACGGCUUAACCGUAGUAAGCCUUUGAAACUGGUGAACUUGAGUGAAGGAGAGGAGAGUGGAAUUCCUGGUGUAGCGGUGAAAUGCGUAGAGAUUAAGAGGAACACUAGUUGCGAAGGCGGCUCGCUAGACUAUAACUGACACUGAUGCACGAAAGCGUGGGGAGCAAACAGGAUUAGAUACCCCUGUAGUC